UGGGGAAUAUUGGACAAUGGGCGGAAGCCUGAUCCAGCAAUACCGCGUGUGUGAAGAAGGCCCGAGGGUUGUAAAGCACUUUCAAUGGGGAGGAAAAAGGGUUGGCUAAUACCCGGCCUAUUGACAUUACCCAUACAAGAAGCACCGGCUAACUCCGUGCCAGCAGCCGCGGUAAUACGGAGGGUGCGAGCGUUAAUCGGAAUUACUGGGCGUAAAGCGUGCGUAGGCGGCCUGCCAAGCCAGGUGUGAAAGCCCCGGGCUCAACCUGGGAACGGCACUUGGAACUGGCAAGCUGGAGUUGGGUAGAGGGGAGUGGAAUUCCGGGUGUAGCGGUGAAAUGCGUAGAUAUCCGGAGGAACACCAGUGGCGAAGGCGGCUCCCUGGACCCAAACUGACGCUG
rnacentral:rRNA from 1 species